GUCGUAGGAGAAAAUUCGUGGUUGUGCCAUCUCUCUGGGUUUUCGUUUACCGUUGUGAAGGUAGCAGACAUAAGAAUUCACCAUGAGAAUCUCCAAAAAGGCAUUAUCCUGUGUCGCACCGAUAAAAGAGGCAGCAUCUGGCAACCCCUCUCAGUGUCCUGCAACCCCCUAGAGGGUCCAGACCCCAACUUUGGGAACCACUGCCCUCGUGCAGUGUCCACCACCACGCCUGACUCUAUGCUUCCUGAUUGGUGAGAAACAUGCAGGAAACAGGGAUGCACGACAUCACUGGCAAAUCAACAUGGGACGGAAAAUGCAGAGAAUAAUGAUAACUCUGAAGUGUGUAUUUGUCAUCUUAAAACAUACAGCUGAAGAUUUUACAGUACUGCUUCCAAUUAAUUUUCAAAUAAAAUAAAGGCCCUUUUACGAAGUUCAGUAGCAGCACUAUGGUAAACUUAAA